AUACGUAGGUGGCAAGCGUUGUCCGGAAUUAUUGGGCGUAAAGCGCGCGCAGGUGGUUCCUUAAGUCUGAUGUGAAAGCCCCCGGCUCAACCGGGGAGGGUCAUUGGAAACUGGGGAACUUGAGUGCAGAAGAGGAUAGUGGAAUUCCAAGUGUAGCGGUGAAAUGCGUAGAGAUUUGGAGGAACACCAGUGGCGAAGGCGACUGUCUGGUCUGUAACUGACACUGAGGCGCGAAAGCGCGGGGAGCAAACAGGAUUAGAUCCCCUGGUAUUCCACGCCGUAAACGAUGAGUGCUAAGUGUUGGGGGGUUUCCGCCCCUCAGUGCUGCAGCUAACGCAUUAAGCACUCCGCCUGGGGAGUACGGUCGCAAGACUGAAACUCAAAUGAAUUGGCGGGG
rnacentral:rRNA from 1 species